UACGUAGGGUGCGAGCGUUGUCCGGAAUUAUUGGGCGUAAAGAGCUUGUAGGCGGUUUGUCGCGUCUGCUGUGAAAAUCCGAGGCUCAACCUCGGACUUGCAGUGGGUACGGGCAGACUAGAGUGUGGUAGGGGAGACUGGAAUUCCUGGUGUAGCGGUGAAAUGCGCAGAUAUCAGGAGGAACACCGGUGGCGAAGGCGGGUCUCUGGGCGAAC
rnacentral:rRNA from 1 species